rnacentral:misc_RNA from 1 species
GUUGACUGUUCCUAUAUACGGAGUACAUAUGCGUCUAGCCCCUCCCUCCGAACAGCGCCUUGAGCUUGACGAUCUGCAGUUCGUCCAGGUUGGUCACCUUGUUCACGACCUCCGUGGGCAGGUCGUUGGCGAAGAGCGCGAAGUCGAGGAUCUGCAGGCCGGGGUUGUCGCUGCUGAACGAGGACAGCGUCACCGCCGUGGUGUUGCCGUGGCUGUACUGGAAGUGGAGCUGGCCCUGCGGGAGCACCAUCAGGUCGCCGGCGUACAGCGUCUUGGUGUACACCCUGUUGAGCGUGGCGCUGAUGAAGCCGCAGACGACGCUGCCCUCGAUGACGAAGAUGAGCUCGGUGCCUCCCGGGUGGGAGUGCAGCGGCGCGACGCCGCCCGGGACCAUCACCAUCCGCGCGGCAGAGAUGCCCAGCCCGUUCAGGCCGGGGAACGUGGUGACGACGGCCGAGCCCAGGGAGAUCUUGAAGGGUUUCAGCGCCGUGCCGGGGGUGGCGAGGCCGCCAUAGUGGAAGUCGUCGGCGGUCACGUCCUUCGGGGGCUUGCACGGGUAGCCGCCCGGCGUGGCGGCGGCGGAUAGGUCGGCGAUGCAGAAGUCCUGGUACACGGCGAGGGAGGAGAAUGGCAGCACGACGAGCGAAGCCACGAGGGCGAGGAGCAGCUCGGCCUUGGCCAUGCUGUACGUAGGCAUGCAGAGGCUAUCUAGCUGUAUGUUUGGACGCGUGUCUC